GAACGAGAAAGUGGAGCAAUCCAUGAGUACAGUGGCGUACGGGUGAGUAACACGUGGGUGAUCUACCUCUUAGUGAGGAAUAACCCUGGGAAACCGGGGCUAAUACCGCAUAAGCCUGAGAAGGGAAAGCAGCAAUGCGCUGAGAGAGGAGCCCGCGGCCGAUUAGCUAGUUGGUGAGGUAAGAGCCCACCAAGGCAUAGAUCGGUAGCCGGCCUGAGAGGGCACACGGCCACACUGGCACUGAAACACGGGCCAGACUCCUACGGGAGGCAGCAGUGGGGAAUCUUGCACAAUGGGGGCAACCCUGAUGCAGCGACGCCGCGUGAGCGAUGAAGCCCUUCGGGGUGUAAAGCUCUUUCGACGGGAACGAUAAUGACGGUACCCGGAGAAGAAGCUGCGGCUAACUACGUGCCAGCAGCCGCGGUAAUACGUAGGCAGCGAGCGUUGUUCGGAAUUACUGGGCGUAAAGAGUGUGUAGGCGGUGUUCCCAGUCUGUUGUGAAAUCUCCCGGCUUAACUGGGAGGGUGCAGCGGAAACUAGAAUGCUAGAGGGUGGGAGAGGUAAGCGGAAUUCCUGGUGUAGCGGUGAAAUGCGUAGAUAUCAGGAGGAACACCUGUGGUGUAGACAGCUUACUGGACCACUUCUGACGCUGAGACACGAAAGCGUGGGUAGCAAACAGGAUUAGAUACCCUGGUAGUCCACGCUCUAAACGAUGCAUACUUGGUGUGAGCGAUUCAUUUCGUUCGUGCCGGAGCUAACGCGUU
rnacentral:rRNA from 1 species